UUUUUGAUGCAGUUGUGUGUCCGUCCACCAGGUGGCGUCCUAAGAGAGCGUCAGACCGCCUGCUGCCAGAGCGCCCGUCUCCACCACAGAAGAAGAAAAACGAUCUCCGGGCUCAAAGCGUCUCCGUGGCGACGCCAGACUCUUUGGCACGGCUGCGUGGUGACAGGCAUGCUGGGAGUUGCAGUUCUGCAGCGCGGAGAGCGUGGAGGACGAGGGGCGCUGCCGAGCUGAAGGAAGUAGAGACCUCGCCUCCCUCCUCAGAAGACGACUUUGUGUCUCUGCCCAGAACCAGGAUCGAGCAGAGGACGCUGCCGGAUGGGAGGCGGAGCCCCGGUGGGAGGCGGAGCCCCGGUGGGAGGCGGAGCCCCGGUGGGGGGCGGGGUCUGGGCGGGGGGCGGGGCCCCGGUGGGAGGCGGAGCCCCGGUGGGAGGCUGAGCCUGGACAGGACUGCGUGGCUCGCCGCCGGCAGGGACCAAUCCAGACC